CUAGUGUUGCUGCAGCCAUCUUGCAACCACAAGGGACACUGGUCUUGCAGACAGAAGCCAAGCACAAAAAUGGGAGGCCCCUGAAAUACUGACCUACACCCAACUUUUGUAAUGUGAUGUGGAGGUCCCGACUGUCAAAGCCGGUUGUAGGCUCUUCUGUUCCUUAUAGCAGGGAGGAUCCCUCCACAGAGUCCUGAGCACACCGUGCACCGCCUGGGGUCUCUCCCACCUCAGGAGCAAGUCUCACUGCCAGGGGCUGGGAGGAAGCAACAUGCUCUCCUUGUUUUGCUCCUGCUGUGUCUCCUCUGUUGUUCCUCUUCCAUCCACACCUUUACCCACCUUGAAGACAACACUGCCUUCUUGGUUGGCCUUUCUGGGGCCCAGGAAUAGAGCUGACUAAGUGUCCCUCUCCCCCUUCCUGGGAGCAUGGCCUGGGCCUGAUUUGUUAGGCCUCCUUGCAGAGACUGGCUCAGGCCCUGGCACUUAACUUGUCCCCAGGAAUUGCUUAUUAAGAGCCCUAGUCAACAUGCGCGUGAUGAGAUGAACUCAACCUUGUCAGCAGGUGGGAGAAGUUUGAGCCGGAGCAUCUACUCCUCAGGCCUUAAGGGAUUUUAUCCCUAUGCUGCCCCCCUGAGUUCAAAGAAGCAGCAGGGCAGCUCAGACUCAGUGGAGCCUUGAGCCCAAGGUACGCAGCUGCUAGCGGGCAAACUGGGUUCAGACACAGCUCUUGCCAACUCUUGCCGACUCUGAGCUCUGCAAAAUGAAAGUGACAGUACCUGCUUCGCCGCGUGCAUUCGUCCCUGCACGCUGAGCUCUGCUGUCCCUCUUCUGCUCUCCCUACAGCGCGGUGAGGCUGUGGUGUCAACUCCAUCAUACAGACCAGGAAAUGGGGUCCCAGGAGAGUCAAAGUCACCCAGCAGGAAAGGAAAGUGAAGUCGCUCAGUCAUGUCCGACUCUUUGUGACCCCAUGGAGUGUAGCCUACCAAGCUCCUCUGUCCAUGGGAUUUUCCAGGCAAUAGUAACUGGAGUGGAUUGCCAUUUCCUUCUCCAGGCUGGCAUGGAUCUUAUGAAGACAUUGUGUGCUAAACAUGGAUUUCUAUUCCUGGCACAUAGACCUCCAAUAAAAGGUGGCCUCUUUUAAUG
ensembl:lncRNA